AAAAGGACCGAUCUCUCUUGUUAACCUUUCUGAAUCCUUCCACGGAGAAAACUAGGGCGUGGUUCAUUCCCCCUCUCUUUUUGUCGCUUUCCCUUUCGGUCGCUGUUGACAGAAUUCGGGAUGGAGACGGUCAGAAGGGCGGCUCAUGCCGGAUCCUGGUCCACCAGCAACGCCAACAAACUGGAAGAGGAACUUGAUGGGUGGCUCAGAGUAACUGGCCUGGCUAAAUCUCCUAAUGUUAGAGGUGUAAUUGCCCCGUAAAUGAGGUGUUCCUCCUGCUGCUGAGAAUGGUUCCACAAGCCAUAUGUCCACAGCACCUCCAGCUGAAACCUCGGAUUUGGAUCAAGCAAAGGGGUGAUCGAUGAAGUUCGAUGCAGAACUUAAAACUGUUGCCAGCUCUUUUAUGCCUGUGAUGGUUAAGAGCUCCAUGCUUGAGGUUGGUUACCAUAGGAGGCAUUGAUGACGAUUGCAACAUCCUCAUUCAAUCAAGAUGCCACCUUCCAAUCACAAAGAGAAUUGCUUCUCCAAUAUUACCCUAUUCCAUAAGCAGGACUUGGUGUGACUCUAAACGCACGGGAUGAAGAGAGGGUGCAGGUGCAGUCCAAGAGGAGGGUGGGAGGUGGCAGUAUGGGAGAGAUUAGGGAGGAGGAGAUGGCAAGGGAUUUGAAGGAAGGGGAGAGGUGGAGGUAGAGAGAACCGGAGGGAUGACAGAUAAGCCUUUUAUUUUUCAUUUAAUUUGGUUUAUUUCAUGUUAUUUUCAUUAUUUUCCACGCUAUUUCCAUAUUGGUAUGUUAUGCACAUUGUUUAGGUCGAUUACUGUUGGAGGCACCGCUGAAGAUGGAGAUUUGUUUGGAUAUCGGGAUAAUUCAUUUCAUGAAACAUUGGAAGGUGGAAAGCAGCGGAGCAAUGUGAAGCAUAAAUUGGGGCGAUCGUAGAUCAGAGUCCUGUCCUGAACGGCUAAAUUCUUUCUCCUCUAUCCCUUUCUCCCUGUUGGUUGCCCUGUAUGGAUAUAUAUUCCUGGAAUAUAAUGGUUUAUCAUGGCUUUCAAACAUGCC